AGGUUCAUCAUAAAUGAUGAAAAGGGGAAUGAGGUGAGAAUCCUCAACUGUCCCGCAGCUGUAAACAACUGUUAGAGUCAUGAACACGAAGUCACUGAUAUUGUUGGGAAGACGUUCAUGACAAGGUUGUAUAGUCAGAAGACCUGCCUUUUGCUG
rnacentral:ncRNA from 1 species